CGCACGCAUCAUGUCGCAGCACAACCGCAAAAACCCUACCCCCAAUCCACAGCGCCACUCCCUCCCUCCUCCUCCUCCUCCCUCCCUCGUCUGCCGCCGCCACUCCCUCCCUCCUCGUCGCCCCUGCCUCCGCCCUAGGAGCUUCGCCGCCUCCCGCGCGCUCGUUCUCUCCCUCGUCUCCUCUUCUUUGUGCUUCCGCCACAGCCUCCGCUUCCCUCCUCCCUCUCACCGGCUUCAUCUCCCCCACCUCCAUCUCCCUACCUCCGCACCUACCAUGCUAAAUGGACGAGAAGGCACCAUCUCGGGAGGCAGGCCACACCUUCCAUGACGGUGCCCUGAUCUGCCGGAUCUUCCUCCUCAUCAGUCCAACGCAGAGGAUUGGCGGAUUCGCCUCAUCUUUGGCGUCAUCGACCAGAGAAGGUGUUUUUUUCUUCUAGGCCGAUGGAUGGGGUAGGCGAAGAGGAGUGGCGGAUCUGCGUCCUCUUCGGCAUGUAGUUGUGAUCUCCAUUGUUGUGAGCUCGUCGCCUGUUGAGUUUGAUGUCGUUCUUGCACCGGUGUUGCUGCCGUGGAGGGCUUGGUUUAAUCUUGUCUACGGUGGGAUGGGGAUUCAGAGGAUAAAUUUUAUUGGCAGUAAGAAGUUAAGAGGUCAAGCGUGAGACGUCACAUGUCAAGGGAGAUUUUAGUUUUUUCGUGUCUGUGUGUGCAGCUUGUCUACGGUGGGAUGGGGAUUCAGAGGAUAAAUUUUAUUGGCAGUAAGAGGUUAAGAGGUCGAGCGCGAGACGUCACAUGUCAAGGGGAUUUAGUAUUUAGUCUCUUCUAAUCUGUGAAGAGAGACUACUGGUUAAAGGGAAUCGAUACUUUAACAAGGUUUCUUCCAAUUCAACAAAGUCAGCUAUGGAGCUUUUCGAGGCAGCAGGACAUGAUGCCGCACGUAGAUGGGGAUGGCCAUGCCCGCCCCGAUGCCGCCGGCCGAUGUCAGUGAGAGUAUCACCACCGACAACGGCUCCAACGAGCUCUCCAUGAGCUCCUGGGACGACACCAACUCCAACAUCAUGUUCUUCGUGCCUGGAAGCAAGAAGGCCAAGGUGCUCAUCAAUGGUGACAACGGCAUGGUCACCAACUUCAGCAAAAUCAAAUCCCAAUUUGGCCUGUCGAGCACGUCUUUGGACAUGCCCGGCAUGGACGGCUACUUGCAGCCGCAGCAGGACUUCGUCGCCUGCAUAGUCUUGAGACAAGCGUGUCUGCGCCACUCACCCGUGAAGCAUCACUAAGAGGCAAAGAAGAACAAGCAUUAGCAAGAGGCUAAGGAGGCUGCAAGACCUUGUGCCCAACAUGGACAAGCUAUUCUCUCGGAGAAGUCGUUCAAUACAAUUGCUGGAAACAUGUUAAGUUUCUUCUUGAAGACGCAACAAACAAAUACUUCAGACAUGCUGGAUAUUGUUGUAGACUACAUCAAAGGGCUGUAGGACUGAACUGAGGUAUGCUCCACGCAGACACAAAGGUUAUAUAGCACACGUUUCCAGGAGGCCUUGUUAAAAAAUAUCAUUUUCUGCUGCAUAUUAACAUGUUUCGUUAAUUUUUAGACAAGUACAAACUGACUAACUAAUAACAACAUAUUUGUUUGCAAAUAGAAAAUGAUAAGAUGUAACGUUUAUUAUGUAAAAAUGGAUUUAUGCGCUUAUUGUCCACGGUUUGGCUUACUUGUUUGGUAUGCAAUGUGCUUGUGGUUCAUAACUGUCCACUGCACCAUUGGAUAAUAGCUAAUGUAAUAAGGAAGGAAAUUUACUUUGAUUCAGGGUCUGGUAGAUAUGUCAUAUAUAUGAUCUUGGAAUUUUGAUAGGCGUUUGUUGACAAACAUGCAAGAUCUAUUUUCUGUGUUUCCAACCUGCAUGUUUGGCUACAAUGGCUUGAUCAGAGAUGUGAGGAAUAUAUCAAUUGUUUCCCGUGGUAUUUGCCAUAUUUUUGUUUCAUACAUCUCCAAUUCGUCACUUUUUAGUUCCCAAGAUGCUGCUGAAAUGCAGAUUGUAUGUGCAUCCUUGGUAGAGUAAUGCAUACAUGGAGUGUGUUCAUUUUUUAGAAACUGAAGAUUAAUACAAAGUUAUAUGGUUUUAUUUUUUGGGUCAAAAGUUUGAUUUAUGCAGUACACCAAUUAAUUCUCGAUACAUUUCGCGUAUUCAGCUUUUUGAUUAACUAUACAAAGUGCUCAUCUUGCUUCGGAUUCAAGUGAUCAGAUCUUGAUGAGAAGCAUGGCUGAAUGCACCUCCAACCACUAGAUUUCUGUGCCAAAAGUUUGAUUGAUGUAAUUCUCAAUGCAUCUAAGGUAUUCAACACCUCCCCAUAACUGCAUAUACUUUACGAUGCUAAUUUUGAGUUAACAAUUGCUUAAUAUUUCACCAUGCAGAUAUAUGACAUGAACAUUUUUCUAAUAUACAUAAAAAGAUUGUGCAUGUGCUAUUUGUAGUUUUUUGUACCUGGUCUAAUUUUUUAAGGCAUAUUCUUAGGAUUGCAUUCUGCUUAUUAGGCAUUGUUAAUUGUUUGAUCAUGAUGUAGAACAUAUCAAAACAAUAGGCAAACCAUAAAGGGUGAUUUGGUGGAAUAUGUAUCCUGGUUACUACAAGAAAUCACUCAAGCAUGCUCGUACCUGCAGCCCUCAGUGGCGAGACAAAGGAUUCAGCCAUGGGAAGCGUUCUUGCCAAGUACAUACGGUUGGAUCUUGUGGCUCCUCCGUUGCACCAUGGAAUCGGCUUGACAAGCAGCGCACGUUGAACAGCGACAAGCAUGGCUAAUGACACAACCUAACCCUAUUGGUCAGCUCUCCGUGAAUACAUAGGUUCGUAUCACAUUUAUCCCCGCCAAGGUUUAUGUGAUUGGCGGGGAUGGAACAAUGAGAGGAGCAGUGGCCAUAUUCGAAGAGUUUAAACGGUGUGGUUUGAGGAUAUCCAUUACAGGGAUCCCAAAAAACUUGGACAACGACAUCGACAUUAUAGACAAGGCGUUUGGGUUUCAAGCCGCAGUGGAGAGUGCUCAGUAGGAAAUCAAUGCGACACAUGUGGGGUUGUGAAUAUUGUGGAUGGCAUUGGUCUUGUCAAACUUAUGGGAAGGAGCACGGGCCACAUUACUCUUCAUGCGACCCUGAGCAGCCUGAGAUGUUGACUGUUGUUUGAAUCCUGAGAUCGAUUUUCAUGUUGACGGGAAGGGGCAUGUUGUCGUUGUUGUUGCUCAAGGCGCUGGUUAGGAGUUGAUUCCCCGGAUUGAUGACCAGAAGUGAGAGCAGGAUGAGUAUGGCAACAUGUUGUUCCUUAGCGUUGGCCUUCUUCUAUAAAGUUUACAUACAAUUCACAUGCAUGGUUAAAAAAGCUACUAUACUAAUGUAAAUGUGCUGUUUCUUUGAAGAUUACUCAUUUCGCUUACCGUUGUUGUAUCAAAACAAUUGUGUUUUGGCUGCUUGCGCUCAUUUCAUAGGAGAUUGAGAUGUGGGACAAGCUACUAUCAAA